rnacentral:tRNA from 1 species
CAGUAGCUCAGUUGGUAGAGCAUCGGUCUCCAAAACCGAAGGUCGCAGGUUCGAUCCCUGUCUGU